CGAGCGGUAAGGCCCUUCGGGGUACACGAGCGGCGAACGGGUGAGUAACACGUGGGUGAUCUGCCCUGCACUUCGGGAUAAGCCUGGGAAACUGGGUCUAAUACCGGAUAUGACCUUCGGCUGCAUGGCUGAGGGUGGAAAGGUUUACUGGUGCAGGAUGGGCCCGCGGCCUAUCAGCUUGUUGGUGGGGUAAUGGCCUACCAAGGCGACGACGGGUAGCCGACCUGAGAGGGUGACCGGCCACACUGGGACUGAGACACGGCCCAGACUCCUACGGGAGGCAGCAGUGGGGAAUAUUGCACAAUGGGCGAAAGCCUGAUGCAGCGACGCCGCGUGAGGGAUGACGGCCUUCGGGUUGUAAACCUCUUUCAGCAGGGACGAAGCGAAAGUGACGGUACCUGCAGAAGAAGCACCGGCCAACUACGUGCCAGCAGCCGCGGUAAUACGUAGGGUGCAAGCGUUGUCCGGAAUUACUGGGCGUAAAGAGCUCGUAGGCGGUUUGUCGCGUCGUCUGUGAAAACUCGAGGCUCAACCUCGAGCUUGCAGGCGAUACGGGCAGACUUGAGUACUGCAGGGGAGACUGGAAUUCCUGGUGUAGCGGUGAAAUGCGCAGAUAUCAGGAGGAACACCGGUGGCGAAGGCGGGUCUCUGGGCAGUAACUGACGCUGAGGAGCGAAAGCGUGGGUAGCGAACAGGAUUAGAUA
rnacentral:rRNA from 1 species